GAUGAACGCUGGCGGCGUGCUUAACACAUGCAAGUCGAACGGAAAGGCCCUGCUCUUGUUGCGUGCUCGUGUGGCGAACGGGUGAGUAACACGUGUGUAACCUGCCCUUGUCUUUGGGAUAACUUCAGGAAACUGGGGCUAAUACCGGAUAGGAGCUCCUGCUGCAUGGUGGGGGUUGGAAAGUUUCGGCGGUUGUGGAUGGACUCGCGGCUUAUCAGCUUGUUUGUCGAGUAGGUGAGUACCAAGGCUGUGACGGGUAGCCGGCAUGAGAGGGGUGACGGCGACAUUGGGACUGCGAUACGGCGCAGACUGCUACGGGAGGCAGCAGUCGGGAGUAUUGCACAAUGGGCGGAAGCCUGAUACAGCAGCGCCGCGUGCGGGAUGCCGGCCUUCGGGGUAUAAACCGCUUUCUAAUGUGACGAAGCGUGAGUGACGGUAAUGAGUCAAGGAGCACCGGCUAACUACGUG
rnacentral:rRNA from 1 species